rnacentral:misc_RNA from 1 species
UUCUAUUUUAGGAAAAUUUUUUUAUGCAACAAUUGCAUAUACAAUAAAUAUAUCAUAAUCUUUAAUUAUAAUGAAACCCAUGUGCAACCCAGUAUAAUCAAUGAUCACAAUCUAAUCAUCUAAUUUUAUACAUAAUAAAUAAUCAGAAUAAAACCGUUAAUCUAUGUUUUAGUUGACAAUUCACCACCAUUAAAAUUAGUUUUGAAUUCAACAUAUAUGGUGGUAAGAAAAUUCACCCCUUCCUCUCGCAAGAGAUGUAGAACAAGGAAAAGGAAAGGAAAAAUUCAUCAUUUGUUGUUCCUGGAAUUUUGCAGGUUGGAAUAUAUGGCAAUGAAGCUGCUCACCCCAGCAAGAAUUAUCACUAAUACUGCCAUGAUCCUAUCCCUUGUUGUAGAAAUGCCAUGAACAUCCCUGAGAAUGAUCAAGCCUGGAAAAAUAAAUGAGAGAAAAACAAUGGUUGUUGAUCCCAUGAACUGGAAAAAAUACCAUAUAUUGGGUAUGGCCAUUGCUGUUAUAUAAGUAACAGCUAAUAGAACACAAGUUAGAGACACAAAUCUUGUAGUGUCCAUGGCUAAUAUAGGCCUCUUAGGGAAGAGCAGUUCAUCUAUGUUAGCCCUCAAAGAGAAGCUCAUCACAGGAUAUACGAAAACCAAGUGGAUUGCAUAGCUUAACCGGACAGAAUCAUUGAGUAAUCGGCCGAUUGGUGUAUCAGAAUUUCGAUCAAAGUUUACUAGAAUGUCAGGCAUGAUCGAGUCACCGAAUAGUAAGUAGCCAAAGAAACCAAUUGCAAAGUAAAUUGCAAUGCCAAUGAUGAGGGAAAUCCUGACAGCUGAGUUCAUAUCAGAAGGUUUUCCAAGUUCUGAUCUAAUGGGGUGAACUGCAUUCAUUAAACCAAGUUAAUUAAUACGCAUUCAUUAAUUUGCUAAUUACCAAAUUGAAAACCUUAAUGGUUACCAUUAACAUGGAAUCCCAAACCAGUUACAAAGACUGGGAUUGUGGUGAAAAGAUCAAACAAGGAUGCUUGAUUGGCAAAAUCUGGGAAUAGUCUAAGUUUCUGAGUCUUCCCUUGCCACAUUGCAUAAACUGCCAUUGCUGAACUUAUGGCUACAAACACUAGUGCAAGGAGAAUGGAGACUCCUGAAGUGAACUUUAGUGAAUCUGGGAGAAAGAAGCAAAAAUCUCAAUGACAAAAUUAAAACAUAUCGUGAAGAAUUCCAUAAUUUUCCUUUCUGUCAAAAUCAAUCAAUACAAGGCUCACCUACUCGACGUAAUAAGACCAGGGGAAGCAUCACAAUAAGCACUAGGAAUAGAAGGGCAUAAGCUCGUGAGUUCCACCAAUGGAUACCAAACCAUUCUUGUAGAAUGCCUAGGUGCAAGGUUUCACCAGAUUGAUUCCCACACAGAACAUCCCCUAGGAGAAGAGUACAUGAUUUAUUAGACACUGUCUGUGGUGAUAUGAUAGAAAAGUGUUUCAAUCCUAGCGCGCAAAGAAGUGAUCAAAUUAUUCAAGUUUUAAGGCCAGAACUCAGAUUAUGUGUUGUUAACAUGGUACACUGGGGUUCAAGAAGGGGUAAACUACUCAAACAUUUGCUUCCCGAUAUACAGAAACAUUUAUUCAAACAUGAAAUCUGCAGCUGAGGACUCUGCAAAAACAACAUUUUCUGCAGAAGGAAACAGACCAUAAUCAAACAAUUCACAGCCAAUUAAGACUUUGAUAAACCUUGAAUAAUAUCAUUGAUAACCCUAAAACCUCAAAUGAAGUAAACAAGUGAUAUUGAAAUGAUGAGCUAUUGCUGCUUUCGCAUCACAUUCACACCCACCCAUAAUUGUAAAGCAGGUGCUAUGGAUAUCUAUGGAACAUGUAAAUUCAACCUGCAGAUCAAGAAAUUGUUAAACAAGAGGUAACAAAACUUACCAAUUAUAAUCAGAUAGAUGAUAAGACAGCCAAGGUUGGUGAUUAUGACACAUAUUUGUACUCCAAUUGAUCCUAUUGUACCAAAUGAUUCCCCCAUAAGGCCAGCAUAGGUACUGGACUGGCCUGAUUGCGUGUACCUUAGCAUGAACUCCACAGUUACCUCUACAAAAAAAGCAACUAUAAGAAGUAAUAUGAACCCAGGAAUUAUGCCUAGCACCUUGAUUGUUGCUGGAACUGACAUAAUUCCAGCACCUAUCAUGGUUGUUGAUAUGUUGAGCACUGCUCCAGAAAUUGAUGCAUCAUUUACGAUUUGAUUUUCUGAAGAUUCAACCUCAGGCAGGAGCGGAACGAUCAAUCCAGUGUCG